rnacentral:rRNA from 1 species
GAUGAACGCUAGCGGGAGGCCUAACACAUGCAAGCUGAGCGGUAGAGUUUCUUCGGAGACUUGAGAGCGGCGUACGGGUGCGGAACACGUGUGCAACCUGCCUUUAUCAGGGGGAUAGCCUUUCGAAAGGAAGAUUAAUACCCCAUAAUAUAUAGAGUGGCAUCACUUUAUAUUGAAAACUGAGGUGGAUAAAGAUGGGCACGCGCAAGAUUAGAUAGUUGGUGAGGUAACGGCUCACCAAGUCGAUGAUCUUUAGGGGGCCUGAGAGGGUGAUCCCCCACACUGGUACUGAGACACGGGACCAGACUCCUACGGGGAGGCAGCAGUGAGGAAUAUUGGACAAUGGGUUAGCGCCUGAUCCAGCCAUCCCGCGUGAAGGACGACGGCCCUAUGGGUUGUAAAACUUCUUUUGUACAGGGAUAAACCUAUUUACGUGUAAAUAGCUGAAGGUACUGUACGAAUAAGCACCGGCUAACUCCGUGCCAG